CUAGAAUUCCGUUAUAAGUAGCUGUAUCUUCAGUGGCGCGGAGGCGCGUUGGAAUAGGCUACCCGUAGUUUGCGUAAUGUUCUGCGGCUCGACGGGCACAAGGCGUUUUUUUCAGUCAAUCCUUAAAUGUUAAGAAUACCAGAGCUUGGUAAAGCUACCCUAUACGACUGUCAUUUAGGGAGAGAUGACCACAACAACCGCACCGUAUGAGCUAUUUUUGAACGUUUUGUCCCGGUCACAUUUGGGAUUUCUAGAUAUGUAGGGCGUUUCAAGUUAACUACAAAUGAAUAGCGGUCUCCGGAUGUGCCACUGUAUAUCUUAUGUACGUUUUUGUAGUAUAGAUAUUAUCAUACAUCCUAUGCUCAUCGCGCACUUAUUUCAGGAAUGGGGAAUCAAGCCGAUAAAUAUUUAUCUAAAUUGUACAGUCCACUGGGGAUGGGACUGCGGUAAAAAAAAAGAAGAAAAAAAAAGAAAAAAGAAAUGCAAUCGCCGGAUAUACAAAAUAGAUUAGAUUAGAUUUAAGAGUUUUUAUAAGGGGAAAUAAGGGAAGGGAAAGCUGAACAGGCGGAGAGUUGAGCAGGCGGGUCACCAGCGCGAAACGCUAACUUUUAAUUGGACGCUUGCAGUUAGCGCUCCACCCAGAAAACGUAAACUUUCUUCCUCUUGGACCGUUUCUCACGGCUUUAGCGAAAUUGUGAAGACAGAAGUGUGAGUAGUAGGGCUCUAUCGAGUUUGAUGUUAGAAUCUAUAACACAUUUCGUUUGAUUCUGUCACCAUACGCAAAGAGGGUCGAGAAGAGAGGACAGAAACGAAAACGCGAGCGCGUGCUGUUGACAUGCCGGGGGGCAUCAGCAAAUAAUCCACGCGCAACUGUCACCGAUAGAGCCUCAUCAUGAGGGUGCUGUCCUUUAACGGGGUCUUGUAUACGACGCUUCUUGGCCUUUUGAUGUUUUGUAAGGUUUCAUGUGAACAGUCAGACUUAAUUACAGGGGAAAACAGUACCACAGUGACCACAAUCAGUGGACCCUUUUCUGAAGACUCAGAUCCUGUUUCCAAUGCAACAU